UGGGGAAUAUUGCACAAUGGGCGCAAGCCUGAUGCAGCCAUGCCGCGUGUAUGAAGAAGGCCUUCGGGUUGUAAAGUACUUUCAGCGGGGAGGAAGGGAGUAAAGUUAAUACCUUUGCUCAUUGACGUUACCCGCAGAAGAAGCACCGGCUAACUCCGUGCCAGCAGCCGCGGUAAUACGGAGGGUGCAAGCGUUAAUCGGAAUUACUGGGCGUAAAGCGCACGCAGGCGGUUUGUUAAGUCAGAUGUGAAAUCCCCGGGCUCAACCUGGGAACUACAUCUGAUACUGGCAAGCUUGAGUCUCGUAGAGGGGGGUAGAAUUCCAGGUGUAGCGGUGAAAUGCGUAGAGAUCUGGAGGAAUACCGGUGGCGAAGGCGGCCCCCUGGACAAAGACUGACGCUCAGGUGCGAAAGCGUGGGGAGCAAACAGG
rnacentral:rRNA from 1 species